rnacentral:rRNA from 1 species
AGUCUUUUCAGUAUUCUUGCGGCUCAUUUUAUUAACACCAGUCAAAGUAUGUAACGAAAUAUCGAAAUAAAUAAAACUUUCAACAACGGAUCUCUUGGCUCUCGCAUCGAUGAAGAACGCAGCGAAAUGUGAUAAGUAAUGUGAAUUGCAGAAUUCAGUGAAUCAUCGAAUCUUUGAACGCACCUUGCGCUCCCUGGUAUUCCGGGGAGCAUGUCUGUUUGAGUGUCAUGAACUCUUCAACCCAUCAAUUUCUUGUAGAUUGAAUGGUGUUUGGAUUUUGAAUGUUGCUGGUCUUUAGACGUAGCUCGUUCGUAAUACAUUAGCAUCUCUAAUUCGAACUCGGAUUGACUCAGUGUAAUAGACUAUUCGCUGAGGACACUUUUAUUAGUGGCCGAAUGAGAUAAUUGUAGACGCUUCUAACCCCUAUAGUCAACUUUGUAUUAGACCUCAGAUCAGGCAGGAUUACCCGCUGAACUUAA